rnacentral:misc_RNA from 1 species
AAGUCGUAACAAGGUUUCCGUAGGUGAACCUGCGGAAGGAUCAUUAUUGAAUAAAUCUGACGUGGUUGUCGCUGGCUCCCCCGGGAGAAUGUGCACGCCCGUCACCUUUAUUUCUCCACCUGUGCACACACUGUAGGCCUGGAUACCUCUCGUCGCAAGGCGGAUGCGUGGCUUGCUGUCGCUUUCGAAAGAAGGCCGGCUUGCCAUAAAUUUCCAGGUCUAUGAUUUCUUACACACCCCAAACUGAAUGUUAUGGAAUGUCAUCUCAAGGCCUUGUGCCUAUAAACCUAUACAACUUUCAGCAACGGAUCUCUUGGCUCUC